rnacentral:rRNA from 1 species
CCUACGGGAGGCAGCAGUGAGGAAUAUUGGUCAAUGGGCGCGAGCCUGAACCAGCCAAGUCGCGUGAGGGAAGACGGCCCUACGGGUUGUAAACCUCUUUUGCCGGGGAGCAACGGGCGCCACGUGUGGCGCCACUGAGAGUACCCGGAGAAAAAGCAUCGGCUAACUCCGUGCCAGCAGCCGCGGUAAUACGGAGGAUGCGAGCGUUAUCCGGAUUUAUUGGGUUUAAAGGGUGCGUAGGCGGAGCGUUAAGUCAGUGGUAAAAUUGAGGGGCUCAACCCCUUCCCGCCAUUGAAACUGGCGCUCUUGAGUGGAAGAGAAGUAUGCGGAAUGUAUGGUGUAGCGGUGAAAUGCUUAGAGAUCAUACAGAACACCGAUUGCGAAGGCAGCUUACCAAUCUAUAUCUGACGUUGAGGCACGAAAGCGUGGGGAGCAAACAGGAUUAGAUACCCGGGUAGUC